rnacentral:rRNA from 1 species
UACGUAGGGUGCAAGCGUUGUUCGGAAUUACUGGGCGUAAAGCGCGCGUAGGCGGGCUUGAAAGUUGAUUGUGAAAGCCCUGGGCUUAACCCGGGAAUGGCAGUCAAAACUACAAGUCUUGAGUGCCUGAGAGGAUGGCGGAAUUCCCGGUGUAGCGGUGAAAUGCGCAGAUAUCAGGAGGAACACCGGUGGCGAAGGCGGGUCUCUGGGUAGUAACUGACGCUGAGGAGCGAAAGCGUGGGUAGCGAACAGG